ensembl:lncRNA novel transcript
AGGUUGCAGUGAGCUGAGCAGCUCCACUGCACUCCAGCCUGGGCGACAGGGCGAGAUUCCAUCUUAAAAAAAAAACAUUAUCCUGGAUUGUUCCAGUGGGCUGAUUGUAAUCAUAGGGCCUCCAAAACUGCAAAAGAGAGUCAAGAGUGACAAGUAACUAUGAAGAAUGAUUAGAGAGAUACAACAUUGUUGGCUUUGAAUAUAGAGGAAGGGAGCCUCCAGCAUUGUGGGUGACCUCCAGAAGCUGGAACUGGUAAGGAAACAUUCCCCUGAAGCCUCUCUAAUGCUCUGAUGACACCUUGAUUUUAUCCUCAUGUGAUCAAUGUUGGACUUCUGACCAACAGAACUGUGAAAUAAUCUGUGUCUUAAGUUUGUGAUAACUUGUUAUAACACCAAUAAUAAUGUACGGUAUACCCUUCAAGACAUUCUUUAUUCCAUGUGAGCAUUCUCCUAAAAUUAUGCCCUUUCAUGUCUGCAGUGCUCUUGCCUAUGCUUCAACCUGAAAUAUUCUAUCCUUUUGUAAACCAAAAAUAAAAUUAUAAACCCCA